CUCCCUUGUCAACUCCGCCUAUGCUUCUUGCUCUGGGGGGAGUACCGAAGUUGAAGGGAGAGUGCUUGGCAGCCGAUUUAUCGCGUCUUCACUAGUCGCGAUAAAUCGACCCCCGCUGGAUCUAUUGCUCAGGAGCUCUGCAGAAUCAACAGCUCUAAGAGUGAACUGGAUUCUUUCCAGGUGUGUUCAACAUCAACAAAACUGCCAAAUAUUACAUGUACUCCCCGAUGUACACAAACUAGUGGAGGGUUUCUCCAGAUGCUUAUUGAACAAUACAGAUUGCAGACAUUUGCUUAUCUUUCUACUGAACGUCCUCCAAGAUUAGCAGAUCCUAUAAUAAGGAAGAUUUAAAAAU